rnacentral:rRNA from 1 species
GCAGGCGCGAAUCUUUCGCAAUGGGCGCAAGCCUGACGAAGCGACGCCGUGUGAGCGAAGAAGGCCUUCGGGUUGUAAAGCUCUUUCGCUAGGGAACAAGAAAGACAGAAUAACACUCUGUCAAUUUGAUGGUACUUGGUAAAGAAGCACCGGCUAACUCCGUGCCAGCAGCUGCGGUAAUACGGAGGGUGCAAGCAUUGAUCGGAAUUACUGGGCGUAAAGGGCGCGCAGGCGGUCAGGAAAGUCAGAUGUGAAAUUCCGGGGCUCAACCCCGGAGCUGCAUUUGAAACUUCCUAUCUAGAGUUCAGUUAGGGAAAACGGAAUUCCACGUGUAGCGGCGAAAUGCGUAGAUAUGUGGAAGAACACCAGUGGUGAAGACGGUUUUCUGGGCUGAUACUGACGCUGAGGCGCGAAAGCAAGGGGAGCAAACAGGAUUAGAUACCCCUGUAGUCC